GACGAAGGUGACGACCGUUGCUCGGAUUCACUGGGCAUAAAGCGCGCGUAGGUGGCUAGGCAAGUCCAUGGUGAAAUCCCUCGGCUCAACCGAGGAAGGGCCGUGGAUACUGCCUGGCUUGAGGUCGGGAGGGGUGAGUGGAACUCUCGGUGUAGCGGUGAAAUGCGUAGAUAUCGAGAGGAACGCCGGUGGCGAAAGCGACUCACUGGACCGUACCUGACACUGAGGCGCGAAAGCUAGGGGAGCAAACAGG
rnacentral:rRNA from 1 species